rnacentral:lncRNA from 1 species
AACUAACAAGUUCUUUUUCUUUACUUCCCUUCUAUUCUAUUCACAGAAGUCAUUGCCUGCAAACAGCCUACCACAGUCUUGGGAAUGAACUCUGACAAACUAACCAUCAUAACAGUUGAUGCUUCCCAUUGAGGAUGGAAGAAUGGGGCUCCAAACUUUGUUAUACUGUUCUUGAAAGGUGACCAGCUUCUUGAAAUGGUGGCUCUUCGGGAUUUGGCCGAGAUCAGCAGUGGCUGGCAGGGCUCCUCCAUCUGUCGUCGGCUGGUGGGUAUGUCUGCUUGACAAGAAUCUGAAGUCACAGUUGAAUCCCCACAGGGUGACUGGGACAGCACUGGGAACAGAAAAGCAAAGACUGAAAUGUCUCAAAAUAAUUUGAGAGCUUGCCAGUAUAUGUUUAAUGAAAACAUUUUCAUCAAGACUUUUUAAUUAAAACACAGCCGUCAAAUAGACUUAACAAUAUGAAUCCGUUCUUUAAAGAGAAAAGGAAUUAGAAAUUUAGGAAAAUGCAAGGGAAACCACCCAUCAGGGUAUCCAGAUAGCUAAGCAAAAAGGUGGGUGCAUAUGAAAUUAUCCCAAGUGACACUGUUUAAAAGGGUCCUAGAUGAUGAUUAACCAGAAUAGUGUCCUUCUGGCCUGAACUUAACUCUGCUGACAUUGUGGGUGUUUGUACCGAAGCGGCACCAUUGCUAGAUCAGUGGGCACAACGCCCCGACUAAACAGACAUGGGCUUGCUUUGAUAGGUGACCAUUCAUGUAUUUGUGGAAAACCCACUUUGGCUGCUAAGUUCUUGAACAUGUCACUUAGAUUUCACUGAAACAAGGAAACUCAUUCUUUCUUUCUUAACUUUUUUUUUUUAGGGUUUUAUUUAUUUAUUCAUGAGAGACA